AGUAACGGCGAGUGAACCGGGAUGAGCUCAAAUUUAAAAUCUGGCGUCUUUCAGGCGUCCGAGUUGUAAUCUAUAGAGGCGUUUUCCGCGCCGGACCGCGUCCAAGUCUCUUGGAAUAGAGUAUCAAAGAGGGUGACAAUCCCGUACUUGACGCGACAACCGGUGCUCUGUGAUACGUUCUCAAUGAGUCGAGUUGUUUGGGAAUGCAGCUCUAAAUGGGUGGUAAAUUCCAUCUAAGGCUAAAUAUUGGCGAGAGACCGAUAGCGAACAAGUACCGUGAGGGAAAGAUGAAAAGCACUUUGGAAAGAGAGUUAAACAGCACGUGAAAUUGUUAAAAGGGAAACGAUUGAAGUCAGUCGUGUGAAAGGUAUUCAGCCGUCUCUGGCGGUGUAUUUGCCUUUCACGGGUCAACAUCAGUUUGAUCCGGUAGAAAAAGGCAGGAGGAAGGUGGCACCCUCGGGUGUGUUAUAGCCUCUUGUCAUAUGUGCCGGACCAGACUGAG
rnacentral:rRNA from 1 species